CCUUAUCUCUAAUGCAGAUCAGAGUCAGACCAAAAGAGUGUCUCUUCCAUUUUAAAGCUCAAGUCAGCAUAUAAUGUUACUUCAAGUAAAGGAAGUUAGCUGCACAUAUCGUAAGCAAACAACAACAACCAGCAGUCGAGGUAACAAAGCCGCCGCCAGUCCCAGUAGCACCAAACAGAAAUGAAUCAGAAGACUGCAUUAUUAUUGAUGCUAAAGAUUACAAGGCCACUGGUUAUUCUACCGUGCCAAUGUUUGUGCAACAUACAGAAGCAAUGAUGGAGGAAAUUGACACGAUGGUAAACUGAUAUGAUCUAUAUCUUUAUGAAUUUUGUUAUGGAUUGCCCAUUGAUGUUUAAUAUGUCAUUCAUGAUGAGGAGAUAGAGAUGGAAGAUGUUGAACAUUUGUCAAUUGUUGAUUUGUUGACACAGACAGUUCUGAUAAAAAGAACUCACUUGUGGUGGUGGAAUGCAUUGACGAUAUCUAUGCUUACUGCAAGAAGGCUGAGGUAGAGAUGUUAUCUCCAUUCUCCAUAUAUGUUUGUAAGAGUUUUUGUUUUAGAUAACUUAUAUGCUCAUUAGGAUUAUGGCCUGUAGAGUUUGCAGAACUCUCAUACUUUUCAACCGAUUUUUCAAAAUAUACACAAUGAUCGUCAUUUCCUCAUUGUAUUAAGCAUCUAGGAUUAGCUUUUCUAUAGUUGUUGGUGUAAAUCUAGAUAUUUCUCUACCUGUU